CGGCCGGCCGCCCUCCCACGGGGAAAUCUCAGCGUUUUCUGCAGCCAAGCGAGCCGUGUGAGGGGGAAAUUCCCCCUCCUCUGGGACACCAUGAGGACUGGACUGAAGAGCCAAAACCAGUCUUAUGCUGCCCCCUGGUGACGAAAAUUAUCCUCCCCUGCACAUUUGCGGGCACUGGGCACAGCGCACAUACGUAGACCUGUCUGCAAAUGGUAGGAACAAACUGUACAUCCAGCAUAGUCGUGGACUCUGAGCAGGGACUCUUUGUGUUCAAGUCCUGCCAAAGUGGCUAACUGAAAAACUGACUGUUUUAUUAUCUGUAAAAUGGAGCCCACAAGGGUAACGUCGCCCCUGCAGUUGAGAAUAAAAUACUUGGAGCAACGCUGA